GGCCAGAUGGAAGUGACGGAUUGCGAGGGUUGUUCGAUCUUAUCGGAUUGAUCGGGCCGCUUAGCAGUCCCUGGAAAUAGCUCCAUCAUGAGAUCGUACCCUAAACCGACACAGGUGGACUGGUAGAGAAUACCAAGGCGCUUGAGAGAACGAUGUUGAAGGAACUCGGCAAAAUACCUCCGUAAGUUCGCGAGAAGGAGGCCCGGUUUUUACGCAAGUAGAGGCCGGGGGCACAAACCAGGGGGUGGCGACUGUUUACUAAAAACACAGGGCUCUGCGAAGUCGCAAGACGACGUAUAGGGUCUGACGCCUGCCCGGUGCCGGAAGGUUAAAAGGAGAGGUGCAAGCCUUGAAUUGAAGCCCCGGUAAACGGCGGCCGUAACAAUAACGGUCCUAAGGUAGCGAAAUUCCUUGUCGGGUAAGUUCCGACCUGCACGAAUGGCGUAACGACUUCCCCGCUGUCUCCAACAUCGACUCAGCGAAAUUGAAUUGCCGGUCAAGAUGCCGGCUUCCCGCGGUUAGACGGAAAGACCCCAUGCACCUUUACUACAGCUUCACACUGGCAUCAGGAUUGCGAUGUGCAGGAUAGGUGGUAGGCUUUGAAACAGGGACGCCAGUCCUUGCGGAGCCUUCCUUGAGAUACCACCCUUCGCACUCUUGAUGUCUAACCGCGGUCCGUCAUCCGGAUCCGGGACCCUGUGUGGCGGGUAGUUUGACUGGGGCGGUCGCCUCCCAAACAGUAACGGAGGCGCGCGAAGGUUGGCUCAGAACGGUCGGAAAUCGUUCGUCGAGUGCAAUGGCAUAAGCCAGCCUGACUGCAAGACUGACAAGUCGAGCAGAGUCGAAAGACGGCCAUAGUGAUCCGGUGGUCCCGAGUGGAAGGGCCAUCGCUCAACGGAUAAAAGGUACGCUGGGGAUAACAGGCUGAUACUGCCCAAGAGUCCAUAUCGACGGCAGUGUUUGGCACCUCGAUGUCGGCUCAUCUCAUCCUGGGGCUGGAGCAGGUCCCAAGGGUAUGGCUGUUCGCCAUUUAAAGAGGUACGUGAGCUGGGUUUAGAACGUCGUGAGACAGUUCGGUCCCUAUCUUCCGUGGGUGUAGGAUACUUGAGAGGAGUUG
rnacentral:rRNA from 1 species